rnacentral:rRNA from 2 species
CACUGAAAAUUUAAAGAGCUGCAGUAUUUUGACUGUACAAAGGUAGCAUAAUCAUUAGUAUAUUAAUUGUAUACUGGAAUGAAGGGUUUAACGAGAGAUAUGCUGUCUCUUAUUGAUUUAUAUAAUUUUACUUUCUAGUAAAAAGGCUGGAAUUUUUUUUUUGGACGAUAAGACCCUAUAGAACUUUAAUUAUUAAAAUUAAUUAAUUUGGGUUAAUUUACAUUAUUUUGAUUUAUUUGAUUUUAAUUGGGGCGAUUUGAAUAAUAAUUAAACUAUUCAUUGAUAUAUCAUUGAUUUAUGUGGUUUGUGAUCCUUUAUUAUGGAUUUUAAGAUAGAGUUACCUUAGGGAUAACAGCGCAAUUAUCUCUAAGAGUUCAUAUUGACGAGAUAGAUUGUGACCUCGAUGUUGGAUUAAGAUUAUUAUUUGGGUGCAGGAGCUUAAUUAAUUGGUCUGUUCGACCAUU